UGCAGGUCCAACGGUUCCUGUGUGGUCAUUGUCUUUGCUUUAGAGGGUGCCUCAGCCCUGAGAGGGCUGGUAGGACUGAUCAUGUCCAUGGACAGGCAGCCUGAUGCAUUUACCUUUCCUCUGACAGGGCUGCUCAGCUUCCUGUGGUGACAGGGAUGUGAAGUUGGCUCCCACCCCCACACACCCCGACUCCACCCAGGAGGCUCCUCCUCUCAGAGCAGAGUGGGAAACAGAUGCCCACAGAGGACUCAGCCGGCUCAGGGAGGUGUGAGGGCAGGCAGGGCCCUCAGGUUUCACAGUUCAACUGGAAGGAAAUGAAAACUAUCCAUCGCUGGCUCAGAAGAGACAGAGGCAUGCGAAGGGGCUGUCACCAAAAGUGGCUUCAGACGAGGAGUGUGGCUUUUCAGAAUCCAGCAGUGGAUGGGGCCAAGGCCAUUUCUCUCAAAAAGGACCUGGAUGAGCUGCCCAGGCCACAGCCUGCACCCUGUUCCCUCUGCCUCUGUGGGGCCCAGUGCUUGGGGAGUGACAAUGAAAUGAAUGAAUGGUGGAGCCAGGGAAGGGAGGAAGCUGACGAGUGUGGCAUUGACAGGGCAGUGGCUGACUUUGUUUGCUUACAGUUGUCCUCUUGCAGAUGAGUCCUGCAUUUGGGGAGAGAGUAGAAUGUCCCUUGGGUGCCCCAUUGCCUUUGGAAGAAGAUGUUUUGAAAACUGGAACUUGCAGGCCAGGCUUCCCUUGGCCUUUGCCCUGACUCAAACAUUUGGUUCAGACACCAUCCACUUAAUUAAGCAAUGGACUCUAGUCAUUUCCAUAGAUACCAAGGACUUUUAAAAUAUAUUGUGAUUUCUUUUUCUUUAUAAGUUGUGAUAAGAUAUGCACAACAUAAAAUUUAUAUCUUAACCCUUUUUAGUGCACAAUCCGGGUACAUCCACAUUAUUGUGAAACCAAUCUCCAGAGCUUCAUCAUCUUGCAAAACUGAACUCUGUACCCAUUAAACAGUAACCUCCCAUUACUCUUCUUUCCCCCAACUCCUGACUACAAUCAUUCUCCCUUCUAUCUCUACAAAUUUGACUCUUCUAGGCACCUCAUAUAAGAGGAAUAAUACAGCAUUUGUUUCUUGUAACUGGCUUAUUUCGCUUUAUGUAAAAUCUUCAAGGUUCGUUCAUGUUGUAGCAUGUGUCAGAUUUUCUUUCCUUUUUAAAGGCAGAGUAAUAUCCCAUUGUAUGUAUGUGCUACAUUUUGUUUAUCUAUUCAUCUAUGAUGAGUCACCUUUGGUGACUGAGAGUAAUACUGCUACAAACAUCUGAGAGCCUGUUUUCUUUUUUUUUCCUCACUUUUUUAUUGGUGCAUUAAAGUUGUAUAUAUUGAUGAG
rnacentral:lncRNA from 1 species